rnacentral:RNase_P_RNA from 1 species
UAAGCAAAUCGUUCUAUCGCUUCAUUUAAUUGGAGAGGAAAGUCCGGGCAACAAAGAGCGCCAUACUUCCUAACAGGAAGGUUGUAUUUGAUUUAUUGGAUGCAAACAGCUAGUGCCGCAGAAAAUAACCGCCAGGUUUAUUCACGUGAUAAACAAGGUAAGGGUGAAAAUGUGAGGUAAGAGCUCACAACUAGGCUAAGUGAUUGGUUUAGUGGGUAAACCUUAUGGGUUGAAAAACCAAAUAAAUCCUGAAUUUGAAGCUGCUCGCUUCAAGUAUUUAAACUUUCAGGAAGGGUAGGUUGAUGGAGGAAUGGAGCAAUCUGUUUCCCAGAUAAAUGAUAGAAGAUGCAUUUUUGGAUGCAUUACAGAACCCGGCUUAUAGAUUUGCUUUUUUA